rnacentral:rRNA from 1 species
AACGCGAAGAACCUUACCUACUCUUGACAUCCAGAGAACUUUCCAGAGAUGGAUUGGUGCCUUCGGGAACUCUGAGACAGGUGCUGCAUGGCUGUCGUCAGCUCGUGUUGUGAAAUGUUGGGUUAAGUCCCGCAACGAGCGCAACCCUUAUCCUUUGUUGCCAGCGGUUAGGCCGGGAACUCAAAGGAGACUGCCAGUGAUAAACUGGAGGAAGGUGGGGAUGACGUCAAGUCAUCAUGGCCCUUACGAGUAGGGCUACACACGUGCUACAAUGGCGCAUACAAAGAGAAGCGACCUCGCGAGAGCAAGCGGACCUCAUAAAGUGCGUCGUAGUCCGGAUUGGAGUCUGCAACUCGACUCCAUGAAGUCGGAAUCGCUAGUAAU